CAGGGGAAGCUCGGAUUCUGGUCUCUUUAUUGUUUACAAUCUCAGUAGUGCCACAGAGCAGCACUGACUAGCUGUGGCUGUGAAUGUGCAUCCCAUGUAAUCUCAGGGUAACUCCUGGUCCUUUAGCAUGUUCUGCUUUGUCUCACCAGUUCUCAGCGGGGUGCUUGAGUUCUGAGAAAAAGCAAUAAACGAAGACACCAAUUCUCAAGUGAAUAAUCCCUUCAAUAAAGCCUGUUAAACAUGGAGCUGACAGCAAAUGGCAAAAACUAAAUUUACUUUCUUCUCCAAACAACAAAAAUACCCUCAUUAGAAACAAGACUGAUGUUCUGAUACAAAUCUUUAUAUUGAAUAUGUUGCAUUUUGAAGAGAAGCAAAGAGAGAGAUGGGGGUUUGCCUGGGAUGUGUUUUGUAAUGGUUUACCAAAAAUCUCUUGGGGUUACAUUUAAAGCGUGAAUUCAUUUCCUGGUGAUUCUGGGUUUUACUGAAACUUCUUUACCCAGAAAAUCAAUUGUGUAGUUCCUUAGAUGUGAUCAAACUCAGGGAUGUUAAUUUACUAUAAACUGAGAGACUGGAAUGUAAUAGAGAAUACUAAUUUGUUCAUUUACAAUAAGAAUUAUGAAUUUAUUCUGACAAAAAUGCAUACAUUGCCAUGAUCAAGAUAGGCUUUCUUUAGAAUAACAUAAAAACUAAACCAGAAAUUUACUUAUUAUCCAAGGAAUCAACACUACAAAUUUGGAUGAUUCUUAAAGCUUCUCUCAACUUAACACCUUUCUCCCCCAAAAGACAGAACCUUGCUAGACAAUAUUACUCUUGAUGUUUGACAACAUAUUCUUCUAUCUAAUGCUGUGUACAUUGACAAUUAUUUCUGUUCAUUGUUUUGCAGGUCCCUGUGAUGAAAAAGGAACAUUUCUUCAAAUAUGGUUAUAAAGCUUAUAUGCCCAUAGUCCAGUCUACACUAGUUGUUACUAAAUGUGACUUUACAUAUUUUUAAUUUCAUCCACUAAGUGUUGAAUUAUUUUUUUUUCACUCACAAAGGCUACCUGAUUUUAUUUCCAACUCUUUCAAAAAGAAGGGCUAAGGAAGGCUUCUUACAGUACCUGCACCUGUCACAGACAAUCUUUAGCCAUAUGAAAAUCUUUUAGUUCCUAUAAUCGGAUUUACUUUGGAAGACACCUUGUCUCAGCUGCUGUCGACAUUGCCAUCUGACUGAUCUUUCUCCAUGUAAGCUGCAAGCUUGCCAGUGAGAGGACUUUUAGACCAAAGCAGUAGCCUGAAUUGCUGAAAAGAUAUCAGGCUUAACAAGAAAGCAAGAUGGGGCUUAGUUCUCUGUGAGGAAAUUCUGCAAGAUAUUAAUAGUUGACCCUUACUAAGAAGAUUCCAGAGUCAGAAUCUUGGGAAGCCUGAUUAAAACAAAGCUACAUAAUUCUGUGUGCAGGCAUGUGUCUGAAAUGCCUUAAGAGAAGACAAAGUAUUAUCACAUACUAUGUCAGCAAUUUGACCAUGGAAUUCUUUUCUUGUACAAUACCCACUAAUGGCCAAUGGAACGGAAAUUUGGGACACACAGCCAAAAUUAAAUACUCACAUUCAUAUAUAAAUACAAAAAUCAAUGACAGUAAUAUAUAAAAUGCUUUCGAUCUUCAUUAUUACUGUUCUCUAAUUCAGAAAAUUAUAGAGUUGAUUGGAGGUGCAUAUCUUAGUAGGCAAAUAAUAACAACAAUAAUCAUAAUUAUAAUAAGUGAUAGUAAUAGCAGAGAGAAGCCAUAAUCUCUAUGGCAGUGUUUCUUCACGUGUGACCUCUAGAGCACCAAUAUCACAAACAAGGUGCAAAUUCCUAAGUCCCUGUGAAGACUUACUAUAUCAGAAUCUUCUGAAGAUGGACCACAGAAAUCUAGAUUUUAAAUAGACACAGCAUGAAAUCUUGAUGUACGCUUGAGCUUGAGAAUUAUUGAAUUGGGAUCUCUAUUUAAGUUAGAAAAAGACAUAACAUCUAGGCUCAAAACAUUUUAGGAGAUUUGAUAGACCCCUGGCAUCCACCAUGCCAUGGGAAUCAGACAAUGUCUUAGUCAAAAAGAGAGGGGGGAAAAAAACAACUUUUGUUAAGAUUUUGUAAGCUCCAACUUAUAUCUUAUAUUGUGUCUUAUGUCUAUUUCUCCAAUAUCCCUCCAUUUUUUUCAUUCACAUUGUAUCUGAAGAGACUAGGGAAGCCUCUUCGUCAUAUAAUGGCACACAUGAAAAUCUUAAACUAAGUAGACUAUUUAUACCAAAUAGAGAAAAAGUAUAUAGUCAUAUUUCUUUCUUAUUUUACCAUUUUAUUUGCUAUUUCUGUAAUUCAUGGGAGAACUAUAGGGACCCCAAAAUUAUAUCAGAACUGAACAGACUUUCAAAUUUGAUUACUUGAGAAUAAAAAAGGAAUUAAAUGAAAUUUCUGGCCAUUCAGGGACAACGUAAAAGAAAAUGAAACAUUUUUGGCAAUUUAAACAUGUAUUUCAGCAUUUCCUUUAAUCAAGCUGAAGUAUUACACCUCCUAUUAUUAAUAUUAAAGCUCUGUAAGCUCA